AGAAUGUUAUCACGGGAGACACACGGCGGGUGCUAACGUCCGUCGUGAAGAGGGAAACAACCCAGACCGCCAGCUAAGGUCCCAAAGUCAUGGUUAAGUGGGAAACGAUGUGGGAAGGCCCAGACAGCCAGGAUGUUGGCUUAGAAGCAGCCAUCAUUUAAAGAAAGCGUAAUAGCUCACUGGUCGAGUCGGCCUGCGCGGAAGAUGUAACGGGGCUAAACCAUGCACCGAAGCUGCGGCAGCGACGCUGAUGCGUUGUUGGGUAGGGGAGCGUUCUGUAAGCCUGUGAAGGUGUGUCGUGAGGCAUGCUGGAGGUAUCAGAAGUGCGAAUGCUGACAUAAGUAACGAUAAAGCGGGUGAAAAGCCCGCUCGCCGGAAGACCAAGGGUUCCUGUCCAACGUUAAUCGGGGCAGGGUGAGUCGACCCCUAAGGCGAGGCCGAAAGGCGUAGUCGAUGGGAAACGGGUUAAUAUUCCCGUACUUGGUGUUACUGCGAAGGGGGGA
rnacentral:rRNA from 1 species